rnacentral:lncRNA from 13 species
CGCAAAUGAUAAUUAUCUGGGAAUGGCAAGGUCUUGGUGCAAUUUGGGCACUUCCCAAGUCCCAAGAUGGAUUAGGCUUCUCAGAGGAGCCCUUCAUGUGCCUUGCAUACAUGACAUCUUGUACAACUGAUCCCAGUGGGAUUUUUGCCAAGCUGCUAAAAGUAGUGCUGGUCUGGAAAUAAGCAGCAGUAAUCUUUAGUGAACUUUCAUGCCAAAAAAUCCUGAGGGAUUUAUGCAGUUCUAGGAUAAGGUACUUGCUAGGCAGGAUGGUUUUCAGAUUCCAGUUGUGAAAUACCUAAAUCCCACUGAAAUCCUCACACAGGAGCCUGAAUUCCUUCUUUGCACACAGCUUUUGCUGACCCCACCAGAAACGUGACUUUUCCUUACAUCUUGGAGCCAAGGCAGAAACUAACAUUCUCGGAGUGUUUAGUUUCAUUUCUGGCUACAAGUAUCCUCAGAUUUCUACUUCUCAGGCAUUUCCUUUGGGACUGUCCUCCCUCAGGGAGCGCGGUGCGGGCUGGGCGCUGCCCGAGCCCUGUUUGCAGCGCCACGGCAACGGCGCGGCGGCCUCAGGCCCCUGCCGGGCCCGGCGACCCUGGCGCUGCUCCCGCCGCUCUCCGGGAUCUCCCCUUUGCAGCUGGCGGCUGCGGGACCCAGGAUGCGGUCCAAUAGGCUCACCACCGAACCUCCAUGUAUAACAGAAGAAAUGUUAGAAGAAUGCUUAGCCACAGAUGAUGUGCUUGUGGAUUACUUUAAUGAAUUUUUGAGUCUUCCGCCCUCCACUGGACCUGCUUCAGAAGCUCCAUGUCUCUGAUGUACUGAUGAGCCUUUGACCUGCUGGCAAUGCUCUUCCGAAUGUACACCAGACCUUCUUGGUUUAUGUAUUUAAACUUAUGUAAUUAAUAAUUUAUGUAUUUAAAUCACAGUGCACUAAAAUAAAAUGAAUAGGAAAUGAGAAAAACACAUAAAUACUUAUUUAAAAGGUGUCUGCCCUAUUACAGUGUCACAGCAUGACGGCAUAAUGAAUGUUUGUCCUUUUACAGUUUUCUGGCAAUGCAUUCAGUGAUUAAUUAACAUUUGAGCUCAAGAAUGGUUGAGCUUUUGAUGGGAUAUCCUCCCUUUUUGGAUGAGGGUGAAAGAGCAGAGGAGGCUGCUGUCCUGCUAAAGUUCUUUAUUUCAUAGUCUCAUAGUUUUCUGAAGGUAGAGUUCGAAGGGGUUACAUGAUAAGGCCAAGCAGCAACAGCAGCACCAGCAGGCAAACAGCAAGUAGAAAACAGCUUCUUCUUCUUCUCUAAACUUACAGAAAUGUGGAUUAUAUUUGUUAAUUGACCAAUAAAAUUAACACACAAUUCUAGUUUUUCUUUUCUUAACCUAUCCUGGUCUAAUUCUAGUAGUUGUAAGUCUUACACAAAUGUUACAUAGGUAUUACACAGAUUUGCAUAUAUAGUUUCUAUCAGCUCUUUUUGUUUAUGUGAACACUCUGUCUAAAAAAUGUGAACAGUAUAGUUCCAUCUAUGUUUGUAUAAAGUAAAGAAAUUCUGUGAAGGUUAC